ACUCCUACGGGAGGCAGCAGUAGGGAAUCUUCCACAAUGGGCGCAAGCCUGAUGGAGCAACACCGCGUGAGUGAAGAAGGGUUUCGGCUCGUAAAGCUCUGUUGUUAAAGAAGAACACGUAUGAGAGUAACUGUUCAUACGUUGACGGUAUUUAACCAGAAAGUCACGGCUAACUACGUGCCAGCAGCCGCGGUAAUACGUAGGUGGCAAGCGUUAUCCGGAUUUAUUGGGCGUAAAGAGAGUGCAGGCGGUUUUCUAAGUCUGAUGUGAAAGCCUUCGGCUUAACCGGAGAAGUGCAUCGGAAACUGGAUAACUUGAGUGCAGAAGAGGGUAGUGGAACUCCAUGUGUAGCGGUGGAAUGCGUAGAUAUAUGGAAGAACACCAGUGGCGAAGGCGGCUACCUGGUCUGCAACUGACGCCGAGACUCGAAAGCAUGGGUAGCGAACAGGAUUAGAUACCCUGGUAGGAAAGCG
rnacentral:rRNA from 1 species